rnacentral:rRNA from 1 species
CAGUAGCCACGGUAAUACAGAGGGUGCGAGCGUUAAUCGGAUUUACUGGGCGUAAAGCGUGCGCAGGCGGUUAUAUAAGACAGAUGUGAAAUCCCCGGGCUCAACCUGGGAACUGCAUUUGUGACUGUAUAGCUAGAGUACGGCAGAGGGGGAUGGAAUUCCGCGUGUAGCAGUGAAAUGCGUAGAUAUGCGGAGGAACACCGAUGGCGAAGGCAAUCCCCUGGGCCUGUACUGACGCUCAUGCACGAAAGCGUGGGGAGCAAACAGGAUUAGAUACCCGAGUAGUCACUGUCUCUUAUAC